rnacentral:rRNA from 1 species
AUUCCAGCUCCAAUAGCGUAUAUUAAAGUUGUUGCAGUUAAAAAGCUCGUAGUUGGAUUUCUGGUCUGAUGCCCUGGCCCGCGUCUUAUAGAUGUGUGUGCCGGCUGUGCGUCUGCCAUCCUUCUAGUAACCCUUCCUACCCUUCACUGGGCCGGGUUGGCGAUCUAGAUCUUUUACUUUGAAAAAAUUAGAGUGUUUAAAGCAGGCUUUUGCUAUGAAUACAUUAGCAUGGAAUAAUAAUCUAGGACUUCGGUUCUAUUUUGUUGGUUUCUAGUACUGAAGUAAUGAUUGAUAGGGAUAGUUGGGGGUGCUAGUAUUGGGCGGCCAGAGGUGAAAUUCUUGGAUUCGCUCAAGACUAACUUAUGCGAAAGCAUUCACCAAGGAUGUCUUCAUCG